AAGUGAACUACUCUGAGUUUAACUUGAAAUCUGAUGAUCCCGAUUCGGGUGAUGAAAGCUCCAGGGAGGGUAGUGGAGCAAGGAAAGUGUCGUCUGCAGACAUGCUCGAGGAUCUUACAGCAGCUGUUCCAAGCAAAAUUAACGAGAGUGAAAAUCUUGAUCAAGAACUGUCCUGGGAAUUUCUCGAAAAGGGUGAUGGAUAUGGUGUUGGCAAAGCUAAAGAAGAUAUGGGGACAGAUCAACUAAACUCCAGUCCUUCCAAUGAUAUCGUUUCCGAUACCGAGUUAUCCAAAGAAUACCUGUCAGUGGGAGGUGGAUUUUGCUUGGACGAAGAUACUACUGAUGGGGACUUGCAGGGGUCAUCUAAGUGCCCGGGGAAAGUGACGACAUUUGAAUCUGAUCCAUCCAAGUG
rnacentral:lncRNA from 1 species